CCUGCCCUAUCCUUGCUCAGCCACUGCAGAAUGGUGCCCAUGCAGCACCAUGAAGCAGGAGCACUGUCCCACACCUCACUGACACCCAACUCCGGGAUGUCCUUCACUGAUGAGCAGCUCCCUGAAAUCCUCUGUGCUGUAAGAGUUUAUAAUCUGAGAAGUGGAAUGGAGGACAGAAAAUUGUAUCCAGAGCACCACAGUCCAAGCAAACCAUCUCUGUGCCUCUGCUUUAUCUUAAUAAUUAAAGCAAGUACUGGCACAUUUACCAAGCUACAGCCCCAUCAGCUGCUAUGCAAAAGUGAGAGACACGCCUAAGGGUUCCCCCCAGCUUCUGGUCUCCCUGGAGCUCAUCAAGUGAUGAUGCAGUGCUCAGUCCUUUCCACACUGAGAGACACCAGAUGUGAAGGUGCAGAGAGAGUGGGGCCCAAGAGCCAUGCUGUCUAGGAGGCUAAGCCUCUUCAUUGAGCACCCCA
rnacentral:lncRNA from 1 species